rnacentral:rRNA from 1 species
UACGGGGGGUGCGAGCGUUGUCCGGAAUCACUGGGCGUAAAGGGCGCGUAGGUGGUUUGAUAAGGGUGUGGUGAAAGUCCGGGGCUCAACCCCGGAUCUGCCGUGCCGACUGUCAAACUCGAGGACUGUAGAGGCAGACGGAAUUCCGGGUGUAGCGGUGGAAUGCGUAGAGAUCCGGAGGAGACCGGUGGCGAGGCGGUCUGAGCUGGGCAGUUUCUGACACUGAGGCGCGACAGCGUGGGGAGCAAACAG